GCCAGGUGUGGUGGCACAUGCCUGUAGUCCCAGCUACUCAGGAGGCUGAGACAGGAGAAUUGCUUGAACCCAGGAGGCAGAGGUUGCAGUGAGCCGAGAUCGCGCCACUGCACUCCAGCCUGGGUGACAGAGCGAGACUCUGUCUCUA
ensembl:misc_RNA Metazoa_SRP Metazoan signal recognition particle RNA